AACGAACGCUGGCGGCAGGCCUAACACAUGCAAGUCGAACGUGAAGCCAUCUUCGGGUGGUGGAAAGUGGCAGACGGGUGAGUAACGCGUGGGAACGUGCCUUUCGGUUCGGGAUAACCCAGGGAAACUUGGGCUAAUACCGGAUACGCCCUCCGGGGGAAAGAUUCAUUGCCGAAAGAUCGGCCCGCGUCGGAUUAGCUAGUUGGUGGGGUAAAAGCCUACCAAGGCGACGAUCCGUAGCUGGUCUGAGAGGAUGACCAGCCACACUGGGACUGAGACACGGCCCAGACUCCUACGGGAGGCAGCAGUGGGGAAUAUUGGACAAUGGGCGCAAGCCUGAUCCAGCCAUGCCGCGUGGGUGAAGAAGGCCCUAGGGUUGUAAACCCCUUUCAGCGGGGAAGAUAAUGACGGUACCCGCAGAAGAAGCCCCGGCUAACUCCGUGCCAGCCGCCGCAGUAACAC
rnacentral:rRNA from 1 species